AAUGAUAUUUGGUAUGCAGUUGUAUAAGCAUUGGCAUAUCUCAUUUCCAUGGAGAUUAUUUGGCUCUGCCCCCUUAGUCAUGGUCUAUUGACUGAAAAUUUUGCCUAGUUUACAUAUAUUAGUUUGUGAUUAGAUAAGUUUAAGAUGAACUGCUAAUGUAAAGUCAAUGAUAUUUGGUAUGCAAGUAUCAUUUCCAUGGAGAUUAUAUAGCCCAACCCCUUCAUCAUGGUUCAUUGACUUUGAAACUUUUACAUAGUUUACAAGUUAAUGUUUGUGUUUAGGUUUGUAUAAAGGGAACGACUUAUAAUAAGUCAAUGGCACAUCUCAUUUCCAUGGAUAUUGUUUAGCUAUGUACAUUCAGUCAUAGUUCAUCGACUUUGAAAAUUUGCAUAACUUACAUGUUAAAGUAUUGCUUUUUUAAUUUCAACAUUUGCAUUAUCAAAAUAACAAAAAGGCGAGACAUAUCUCUGUGAUAAUAGUUUAUUAUACAGUAAAUGGUAUUCCAUUACUGUGGUUAAGUAACAGUUGACCUUAUUUCUAUUUGGAAAUCUUCUAGGCUUGACCUCCAGAUUUUGCUACACUUAAACUUGUGAAUUCAUACAAAAAUCACUUUAAACUUUUUGGCUGCAGACAUUUUGUCUUGUGACAAUAAAAUUUUAUGAGCAUGUCUGUGAUGUUUAGUAAUGACAGACAAAUAAUGAGUGAUAAGGUGUAUUUCUACUGUUUAAUCCAGUAUAAAAAAAAAACAGAGUAAUGAAAAUCUAGUAAAAAAAAUCAUAAAACAUAAAUCUUUUGUUGAAUAACAUUGCUAGUUUGAUUUGAUAAAUACAGUUAUCAGAAGUAUUCAGCAUUGAAGGGGCUAAAUUUCAUAUCUAAUCUUUGUUUUAUAUUUGAAAAAAGUUACUUAUAUGUUAAAUUUUAAACCUACUGAUUCAAUUAUCAACAGAUAAUACCCUAGACAUGUGAUUUGACAUGAAUUAUUCCAAUCCUUUUAUUUUGUUUAAUGACAUAAAACAGGUUUUUAUAACAGGAUGUUAAACAGUGUAACAAUCCAUCUGUUGAUGUAUAAUCAUCAUGAUUUCCAUUUAUCUAUUUCUUACUUUACUAUUAAUUAAGAAAUAACUGCAUACACUGAUUUUAUGUUGAUGUAAAUCUUUUGAUUUAUAACAUACUCUUCUUAAAUUGUAAGUUGUUAAAUUUGAAAAUUAUUAAAUAAGGUUCCAACUCCAUCAGCCAAAUGAUACCUUUAAGUGGAUUUGGCUAUUCAUUUUAGGUCUUUGUUUUGUCAUAAAGCUCCUUGAGUAUUCAAGUAUUUAUACAAAAUUGGCUUUCCAAAUUUUUGGUAUGAGCAAUCAUGAUGAAGAUAAAUUCAGAAAAGCGCUUUGGACACACUUAAAGUGUUAUUUGCAUUUUUCUUGUGUCAGAAAGUAAAUCGUCAAUAUUCUACUAUCAGGUCUGGUAAUUAUAAGUAGUUCUUUCCAUCGACUCAAAAACAAAAUCUUAACAAGAUCUAUAGUCGAUGACUUAUUAUUAUUAUAUCCCUCUAUGGCAUUCACCUUGUCUGUCUGUCCAUUCUUUCGUCCAACAAAAAACUGUCACACAUUUCUCUAGUACCACAUUACAGAAAGGGUUCAUAUUUGGUCAGCAGCUUGACAGUGAUAAGUUGUAACGUGAGCACUUUUAAGAUCUGUCAGACACCUAGUUCCUGUAUGCUGAUAUUUUGAAUUGUAUUUCUUCUCUCAUCCCUCACCAUCUCAGCUGUUCAGACUGAGGACUUCUGGUAUGAGAUAAUGUGUUCAAUACUCAUCUCCUUUUAUUCAUGUCAGUAAUUGUUUUUUUAUACCCAUGUUCAAUAGACUUUGGGGUAUGUAAUGAUGCACAUUUAUUUUUGAUAUUGACCAUAGAUAUAAGGUGAGCGAUCCCGUGUCAAUGCUGAUGGCCUUAUGUAAAAAAUGUCAUUUUCCAUCUUUAGUUUACACUGUUAAAAAGUCAAAAUAUCAGUAAUUUUUCAUUUGAAAUUACACAAGAUGAACUGAAUAUGUUUAUUCUAGUUCUGUUGCAAGAAUGUUGUUAUAAUACAUAACUGAAGUACAGACAUGGAAUGCAUGUGUGCACCGUGUCCAAUUUAUAAUUUAAUGCACACCUUGCAGGUACAUUCAGUUUGGCUUUUAACAGAAAUUUUGGUUUUCAAAAACCUCUAUCUCACCAAAUUUACUUGAAGAAAUUUUAUACCCCAACCACUUGCACAUUAAAGUAUUUAGAAGUGAUGGAGGAUUGAAAUAUAUUUUAUAAUUAUUCAAGAUAUAACAUGUAUGAUCUAACAAGUAGGAAUCUUGUUUUUGUUGUAAUUUAUAAACAAUUGUUUUGUACAGUUUGUUAUUUGGCUAGAUAGUCUGUUGUUUAUCAUCAUAAACAUUUCAACAUUUUAUAAAA